CGGGGACUCAUGAGGUAACCUGCUCUUAGGAACCAGCAGUAUGGCGUCGGGCUGCGAGAUUGGCCCGUCUAUCCUCAACAGUGACCUGGCCAAUCUAGGGGCCGAGUGCCUCCGGAUGCUAGACUCUGGGGCGGAUUAUCUGCACCUGGAUGUAAUGGACGGGCAUUUUGUUCCCAACAUCACCUUUGGUCACCCUGUGGUAGAAAGCCUCCGAAAGCAGCUAGGCCAGGACCCUUUCUUUGACAUGCGCUUGAUGGUGGCCAGGCCGGAACAGUGGGUAAAGCCAAUGGCUGUAGCAGGAGCCAAUCAGUACACCUUCCAUCUUGAGGCGACUGAGAACCCAGGGGCUUUAAUUCAAGACAUUCGGGAGAAUGGAAUGAAAGUUGGCCUUGCCAUCAAACCAGGAACUACAGUUGAGUAUUUGGCACCAUGGGCUAAUCAAAUAGAUAUGGACUUGGUUAUGACAGUGGAACCUGGGUUUGGAGGGCAGAAAUUCAUGGAAGAUAUGAUGCCAAAGGUUCACUGGUUGAGGACCCAGUUCCCAUCUUUGGAUAUAGAGGUCGAUGGUGGAGUAGGUCCUGACACUGUCCAUAGUGUGCAGAGGCAGGAGCUAACAUGAUUGUGUCUGGCAGUGCCAUUAUGAAGACCCCAGAUCCGUGAUCAACCUGUUAAGAAAUGUUUGCUCAGAAGCUGCUCAGAAACGUUCUCUUGAUCGAUGAAACCAUAAGGAGCCCAGUGUUUCUGCUCAUGAAUUCUCUAUUGUAAAACAGGAAUAUUGACUACCAAAUCAUAUUGCAGUUGAGGCAGUACUGUUUUUCAAAGCAAUUAU